rnacentral:rRNA from 1 species
GAUGAACGCUAGCUACAGGCUUAACACAUGCAAGUCGAGGGGAAACGGCAUUAAGUGCUUGCACUUUUUGGACGUCGACCGGCGCACGGGUGAGUAACGCGUAUCCAACCUUCCCAUGACUAAGGGAUAACCUGCCGAAAGGCAGACUAAUACCUUAUGGUCUUCACUGACGGCAUCAGAUGUGAAGUAAAGAUUUAUCGGUUAUGGAUGGGGAUGCGUCUGAUUAGCUUGUUGGCGGGGUAACGGCCCACCAAGGCAACGAUCAGUAGGGGUUCUGAGAGGAAGGUCCCCCACAUUGGAACUGAGACACGGUCCAAACUCCUACGGGAGGCAGCGGUGAGGAAUAUUGGUCAAUGGGCGAGAGCCUGAACCAGCCAAGUAGCGUGCAGGAUGACGGCCCUAUGGGUUGUAAACUGCUUUUGUAUGGGGAUAAAGUCAAUCACGUGUGAUUGUUUGCAGGUACCAUACGAAUAAGGACCGGCUAAUUCCGUGCCAGCAGCCGCGGUAAUACGGAAGGUCCGGGCGUUAUCCGGGUUUAUUGGGUUUAAAGGGAGCGUAGGCUGGAGAUUAAGUGUGUUGUGAAAUGUAGACGCUCAACGUCUGACUUGCAGCGCAUACUGGUUUCCUUGAGUACGCACAACGUUGGCGGAAUUCGUCGUGUAGCGGUGAAAUGCUUAGAUAUGACGAAGAACUCCGAUUGCGAAGGCAGCUGACGGGAGCGCAACUGACGCUGAAGCUCGAAGGUGCGGGUAUCGAACAGG